ensembl:snRNA U2 U2 spliceosomal RNA
AUCAUUUCUCUGCCUUUUGGCUAAGAUCAAGUGUAGUAUUAACAUUAACUAUUUUUAAAAUGUUUGGCAGAAUUUAU